rnacentral:rRNA from 1 species
UACAGAGGUCCCGAGCGUUGUCCGGAAUCAUUGGGCGUAAAGCGCGUGUAGGCGGUCCGGUAAGUCCGCUGUGAAAGUCGGGGGCUCAACCCUCGGAUGCCGGUGGAUACUGUCGGGCUUGAGUACGGAAGAGGCGAGUGGAAUUCCUGGUGUAGCGGUGAAAUGCGCAGAUAUCAGGAGGAACACCAAUUGCGAAGGCAGCUCGCUGGGACGUUACUGACGCUGAGACGCGAAAGCGUGGGGAGCAAACAGG